CUUUUUGUAACCAUUGUAGUUUACCCAUCUCUAGUUUUUAGAAAGCUAUGAAUGUUGUUUAUCCAAUUUUUUUUUAAGAAUUUGUGUUUCGUUGUCCAGGACAAGCUGCUCCAAGCUCGGGAGGCACUGAAGCAUUACCACUGGGCUGUUCAGGGUGCAGAGAGCUUCCUUCAGCAGAUUGGAUCCAAUCUCAUGAUCCCCUCUGAUGGCUUCAAAGGAUACAAAGAGGAGCAUCGCUACGUUCAACAGAUUUUCAGCACUCUGGUUGAGGGUUUCCAGGCCCGCUUGUCUGAAGUUGGUGCUUCUGUUCCCCAGCAAACAUGCCUCUCCAUCCCUCUAACCGAGCAGCUUCAUAUCAAGGUUUUGAGUCACCUUCUAGUACAAGAUGCCAAAUUAGAAGCUCAGGCACAGCUCAGACUUGAGGCCUUACAGAGGUCCAUGAAAGAUCAAAUUGUGCACAUGAGUCACCACGAAGAACUGAGUCAACUUCUCAAAAAUGUUGAUUCUCAAAUCUCAACAUUUUUAAGUCAAAAACCAGCUGAUUCUGAAGCCUGCCAAGAUCAACUGCUGAAAGUAAAGGUGCUCCAGACAGAGCUGAAGAACCUCUCUAAAAAGCUGAAGGAACUGAGCGAAAGCUGCCCAGGUCUUCGCUGCAAAGCACCCAUGGAUCUGAUGCUGGGACAACUGUGGAGGUCUUGGGCAGUGCUGCAGUGCAGAGUGGAAUCUCUCAAAGCCAGCAUGUCUCAUAAAGAAGCAGAGUGGAGAGACUUGGUGAUACGUGUAUGUAAAAUAUAUAUAUAUAUUUUCCAGCUUGUUUCAAUUUUAAUUUUCUCGUAA
ensembl:lncRNA